CCCAUAAUCCAAAAUAACCGCACAUGCUCAGUGUCAAUUGUUUGUAUUGGAGUUUGACAUCGGGGCUUUUCUAUGACCAGAAUGGGAUGAGAGUAGCAAACGUUUCUAUUUUAUGCUUUUUACCCUCACAACCUAGCAGUAUUUCCAAGAAAUGAUAGAUGCUGUUUCCCCUGGCAUGCAUUGGAUUAGUUUUCUGUACAGUGAGAAAUGUCUUCGAUGGAAGUCUGCAUUUUCAAAUUCAAAGCCCAUCAUUUUUAUUCCUGGAAAUGACUGGAUUGCUCCCUGCAGCAUAAUACUUCCUGAGGAAUAAAAAGAAGUGUGGAAAUACCUGCAAAACCUGCACAAGUACAGCAUGAUAACACUUUCUUGCCUCAGGAGAUGGUGAUUUAUAUAUUCCAUAAUGUGGUAUUCAAGAAACUGUCAUGUAGCCUCCAAACCAAGUAAAAAUUAAAACAUAUUGAGUAUAACAUUAAUUUAAGCUAUUAAAGUUGCUUCUCGGUGAUUUCCAAGCUCAGUACUUCCUGGAGAUGCAGAUCUCUUAGCGCUGACAUCAUCAAUAGGCGUCGCGUUGCCGAAAAUGCGAAGCAAAGAAGUUAAUGGUGUUUUCAGGUUGAAUGGAUGAUAAUGAAGCAGUGGAAGCUCGUGGAUAGCCUGCACAAGAUGUUUUCCAAGUGGAAUUAGAAGCCUUUCUUUUAAGAGAAGGACUUGCCCAUUCCAUUUCUUCUAUUUUCUCCAGCAGUUUAUCAGCUUUAACAAAUGUGAGUGCAGAAUCCAAGUCCUCAAAUAUCUUUGGUCCUUCAGGAAGGAAAAUCCUUAAUCUUGCAGGGAACAAAAGGUGUCAGGACCAAUGAAUCAGAGCAGAUGGUCUUCCUACCCCAGCACAGGAGAACCUAGGCUGGCUGAUCACAUCACUCUACCUCAUUGGCUGCUUUAGCAUCACCCUUCCUCUCUGGGUACUCAAAACUCGAAUUGCUACUCAACCACAAGUCAUUUUGGUGAAAGGCUUUAUCGUUUUGAGCCAUGGAGCUGACAAAUAUGUUAACCUUUCUCACUUUUGACUACCUUAUUAAAGGAUAUGGAAAAGCUGGAAUCAACAACCUCCUAGCACAAGAAAUCUGGACAAAGUGAAAAAUAAGUUUGGAACAAAGACCCUAAAAUAGGGACACAUUUU